CUCUCUCUCUCUCUCUCUCUCUCUCUCUCUCUCUCUCUCCAUUAAAAUCCUGCACGAUCAAGGCAAUGCUCACGACGGAGCUCUUUCUGUGGAGUUAGGGCUUAAAAGACGUGCAGUUUAAGACUUCAUUCAGUCGGCCCUGACACGAACACCAUCAGAAAAGUACAACCAUCACUCUCAUCCCUACCACCACCACCAGCAUUGCAUUGAUACCACAGCCAUUGUCACACUAUACCAUCACUAUAUAUCAUCACUACUCUUACCACCAAAUGCAAUAUAAUAACAUGUAGUUCAACUAUACUAAAAUAUAUAUAUUCAUGAUAUUAAAUUUUUUUUUUUAAUUUUAAAAUUUUUCCAGAUUGCCAAUUUGGACCGUAUUGGUAAUUUAGCAAUCUGACAUUGAUUUAUAGGGUGGGCAAUCCACCUCACGUACCUAGAUUUUGAAACAAGUUCAAAUUAAGAUAAUCAAACUACCAUAUAGAGCAAAUGAUAAUUCAUCAGAUUGCCAUUUUGUCCAUUAUGAAGUGAAAAAGGCACCAUUUAUUAGAAUUUUGCACUCAAUUUAAAUCUUUUAGCUGGAGCCCCUUCAUGGCACAAGAUCACCUAAUGCAUCAAAGCAUUGUUAGGAAGAUGACCAAAACUAGUAGAAUGGGGGCUCUUAUUAGAAAUCUUAAAAUGUAUGGGUUUUGGUUUUAAAUGGAGAAGUUGGAUGUUUGGGUGUUUUUCCUCUGCCCUCUUCCAAGGUAGUUUGGCUGGUUUUUUUCAAGCUACUUGGGGUCUUCGCCAAGGGGAUCCCAUAUCACCCUUCUUAUUUACCAUUUUUGCAAAGUGUUUUAGUUUGAUGUUGUGUAAUGUGGAGAUGAAGGGUCAGUUCUCAGGAUUUGAGAUUGUGAAUUCGGGAUUGAUAAUCUCCCAUCCACAAUAUGUAGACGAUACUCUUAUUUUUUGUGAUGCGGAUCCUAGGCAGAUUAAAAACAUUGCAAGAUUUUUAGAAAUUCAUGAAGUCACAAUUGGUUUUAAAGUGAAUUUGCAUAAAUCAUUUCUAUUGGGUCUUAAUUAUUGUGAGGCUGUAAUUGAAACUCUUGCCAAGGUUAUGGGGUAUAAUGUGCGUUCUUUUCCCCUUCUUUAUCUUGGCUUACCCAUUUUAGAUUCACGUUUUCCUAUAUCAGUUUGGGAUAGGGUUGUGGAGAGUACAAUGUAAGCUUGAUCUUUGGAAAUCAAAGUACCUUUCUUUUGGUGGUAGGGUCACGCUUCUGAGCACGUGCUUGGCCAACCUUUUAAUUUAUCAGAUGUCAUUGAUCAAUAUGCUAGCUUUGAUUGCUAGAAGGAUUGAAAAGAUGGUGAGAGAUUUCCUUUGGGGCUUUGAUGGCCCUUAUCGCAGAUUCCAUUUACGGUGGUGGGAUAGGGUGCACCCCAAAGAAGAAAGGUGGUUUAGGUAUCAAAAAUAUAAAUUGGUUAAUCAAUCUCGUAAAUGGUGGUGGAGGGUAUUAAGUCCUCCUUGUUAAGUAUGGUAUGGGUAGAUCGGACAUUUGGAUUGGCUGAGGUACUGGAAGGGAGAUUUCUCAGAUGUGAAGGCAUAUUGUGCAUGUUUGGCCCACGGUUGCAGGCUAUUUUAGAUGGUCAAUUGGGAAUGGGAAUGAUGUUUCCUUUUGGCAUCAUAGGUGGGUGGGUGAUUAUAUACUCAAAGUCUUUCUUCCCAGAUUUAUUUGCUAUUGCCUUUGAUCGCAAUGCUAAGGUAUCUCAUAUGGUUGAGAGAAGAGGAGUAUCUUUAGCAUGGAAUCUCCCCUUGAGGUAUUACCUGGGUGAAUAAUAAUCUAUUUUCACAGUGGUGUGCGCUGAUGGCAGUACUUGAUAAAGCCUAUAUUGCAUCCGAUGCAAAAGAUGAAAUGGUUUGGGCAAUUGAAAAUGACGGUGUCUUUAACUGUUAAGUCAUGCUACAACCUUAUUUUUCAUGAUCGAUGGAGGUGGUCUUACCCCCAAAUUGCCACUAUUUGGAAGUGGCCCAUACCCCGUAAAGUGCAAGUUUUUAUCUGGUUGGCUGCACUUAAUAAAAUCCUAACUAUCGACAAUCUGAUUAAAAAAGGUAAAGUUUUACCAAAUGUUUACUAAUUUUGUAAGGCUGACGGUGACUCUAUUGCGCAUCUGUUUUUACAUCGCUCGGUUACACGCCAAAUUUGGUAUUGGUUGCUUGGAUUGGUCAAUACCAAUUUGGCCCUACCACUUGCAGUUGAUGGGAUUGUUACACAAUUGUCUUUAUUACGAUGGUAAGGCUUUGUGGUGUAUAGCAAAAGGGGUGAUCCUAUGGGAGAUAUGGAAAGAAAGAAAUAUGCGGACUUUUGAAGGUAUUUCCCUUUCCUUAGAUUGUUUGAUCCAUUCAAUCAAGUUGUCUAUAUGGUCGUGGAUAUCUGUUUCUAAAGAAGGUUGGCGAACAUCCAGGAUCGAUGGUUUGGCUAAUUUGGGCAAUCUCUUUCGUCUUGGUACCUUUAGCAGUCGAUCAAAAUUAAGUUGGGUUGCCCUCCCAUUGGGUACUUUAAAACUUAAUUUUGAUGAUAGUUCCCUUGGGAAUCCUGGAAGGGCGGCAGUUGGUAGAAUGGUAAGGAUUCUUGUGGCAAUACUCUUUUUUGGAAGGGCUGCAGUUGGUAGAAUGGUAAGGAUUCUUGUGGCAAUACUCUUUUUUCCUUUGCAAGGCCAAUUGGAUGUGCAACUGCAAACCACUGCAAACCAUGUUGAAAUGUAGGCUCUUUAUCAUGGUUUGAAGACUUUUAGGGAAAGAAACUGUGGGGAUAUGUGUUGGAUUGAAGGGGAUUCACUUAAUGUCAUUAAGUGGUGCAAGAAGGAGCAACGGGUUCUUUGGUAUCUUCGUUUACUUUGGUUAUGUAUUAUGGACUUGUCUGUUCCCAUCUCGGUUAUCUUUUCACAUCUCUAUCGAGAGGCUAAUUCGAUUGCUGACGAGCUGGCUAAAAGGGGUGCUCUUUUACUUUCUUUUUUAAUAUCUGAUAAUGUAAUUUCCUAUUCAUAGUGCUAAUAUAAGUAGUAACAUUUGUCAAAAAAAAAUAAAUAUCUCAUGUAUUAUUUUUUAUAGGAAUUGUCAUAAAAUGUACAAAAGGGGAUGAACAAUUAAACAUGAAUAAACUUAGGAAACAAUGACUAUUAUUUCUUG